rnacentral:rRNA from 1 species
UCGCUAGUAAUCGCGGAUCAGCAUGCCGCGGUGAAUACGUUCCCGGGCCUUGUACACACCGCCCGUCACACCACGAGAGUUUGUAACACCCGAAGUCGGUGAGGUAACCUUUAUGGAGCCAGCCGCCGAAGGUGGGACAGAUGAUUGGGGUGAAGUCGUAACAAGGUAGCCGUAUCGGAAGGUGCGGCUGGAUCACCUCCUUUCUAAGGA